CACCUUUUAACAAAAACUCAAGAUAUUCACAACUAAACAUCACACAAGUCUUUAGAUUAGACUGACCACAAAAAAGACAUUGAUUUCAUAAAAUUUCUAGGAGUAGUUUGUCGCAGUGUAAAAUAUGUAACUUCCUGUUGCCAAUAGGUGGCGCUAUGACUAUAACUGAAUAUUGGCAUGUAGAUCUGUUCAGGUCAAGAGUCUUAUCCAACAUGUGAAGUUUGGGGCAGAUUGGACAUUGUAUGUCUGAGUUACAGCAACUUCCUUUUUCAUGGCGAAACAUCGAAAUUUUUCAGGCCGCCAUGGACCCGCCCUUUAACGAAACCUCAAGUCCUUCGCAAUUUAUUAUCGCAAAGGGCUUUAGAUUACACUGACCAAGUUUGAUGUUGAUCUGAAUAAAUCUCUAGGAGGAGUUCGUUAAAGUACAACCCCUGAAAAUGGCAAAAACAACAGCAAUUUUGAAGGGAAAAUUCAAAAUAACCGACUUCCUGUUGGGAUCCGGAUUUCGUACCAAGAGACUUUGUUGUAGGUAUUGGAGUGUUACAUGUGUGUACCAAUUUUUGUACAUGUACGUGAAACAUAGCUCGAGGCGCACUCCGUUGAAAGUGUAUAGGUGGCGCUAUAGAGCCAUUCUGCCACACCCGGUGGAAUAUUGGCCUGAAGAUCUGUUCAGGCCAGGACUCUUAUCACACAUGUGAAGUUUGGGGAAGAUCGGACAUCUUAUGCCUGAGUUAUAACAUCUUUUAUUCACAUGGCGAGACAUCGAACUUCGUCGCGGCGCCAUGAACAAGCCUUUUAACGAAAACUCAAGAUCUUCACAACUGAACAUCGCACAGGCCUUUAGAUUAGACUGACCACAAAAAAGACAUUGAUGUCAUAAAAUUUCUAGGAGUAGUUCAUCGCAGCAUAAAAUAUGUCACUUCCUGUUGCCAAUAGGUGGCGCUAUGACUAUAACUGAAUAUGGGCAUGUCAAUCUGUUCAGGUUCGGAGUCUCAUCAAACAUGUGAAGUUUGGGGCAGAUUGGACAUUGUAUGUGUGAGUUAUAGCAACUUCAUUUUUCAUGGCGAAUCAUCGAAAUUCGCCAGGCCGCCACGGACACGCCCUUCAACGAAAACUCAAGAUCUUCGCAAUUUAACAUCGCAAAGGCCUUUAGAUUAGGCAUACCAAAUUUGGUGUUGAUUUGAAGAACUCUCUAGGAGGAGUUCGUUAAAAUACAACACAUGGAAAUGACCAAAAUUACACAAAAUAUGCUCAUAAUAUUAAAAAUAACCGACUUCCUGUUGGGUUUAGAAUUUCGCUCCAAGAGUCUUUUUUGUAGGUAUUGGUGUGUUACAUAUGUGUGCCAAUUUUCAUGCAUGUACGUGAAACAUAGCUGGAAGGCUGUUGAUUUUCUUGGUAUAGGUGGCGCUGUCGAGCCAUUUUGCCACACCCUCUUCUGAAUCCUAUAUUAGACGAAAAUUUUCACCAGGUUUGACGCGUGUGCAAAGUUUCAUGACUUUUUGAGCAUGUUAAAGCCCUCAAAAAUGCGAUUCAUUCGGGAGAAGAAGAAGAAGAAGAAUAAUAAUAAAUAUAGCUGCAAGCAGCGAUGGCGGGCUCAAGCCACCAAUGCCAUCGCCACCCCGGUGGCAUCAGGUAAACUGUGCCCAGCGGGCACAUGCAUUCACAAUAUCCCUCUGGCAGUGAGGUUUUAAAGGAUAUGGCAGUUAAAGGGUUAAUCCGAAUCAUCUAGACUUUAAAAUCACAUUCACAGAACAAUAUAUAUAUAAUAUAUAUAUAUAUAUAUUUAGUAACACUUUACAAUAAGAUUUCAUUUAUAAACAUUAUGUUAACAUGUACAAUAUUUAUAUAGCAUUCAUUCAUGUCAGUUAAUAUUCCAAACUUAAACAUUAAAACAUUGUUUUGUGAUUUUUUUCCAAGCACAUUUUACCAAUUCCAAACCAUAUCAAUCUUAAUAACUACCAUUAUUUUUUAUUUAAUCAUUUAUGAGUGUUAUACAAUAGUCCAGGAAAGCUGGAAGAGAAAAACUCCUUAUAUUCAUGUGCAGAAUUAUUAGGCAUGUUUUCUUUUACAGAUGAAAUGCACUAAAAAAGAGUUUUAACUCAAACUAUUUUAACUCAAAGUCGAAAAUUAUGAAAUACCCAUGAGAAAUAUCAAACACAAAUGCAAUACAGAAAUGGAUAAGUUAAGACUUGACCAUUGUACAAAAAUGCUGACUGGGUCAUGAGGUCAGAAAAGAAGAAGAAAAAAAAAAACAGGUCAAGAAGAACUGACAAAAAUAAUUGCAAAAUAAUUAGGAAUUAAUGUGAAGAUUAAUUUUUAGUCAAUUCUGCAAGACAGACUUUCAGGAAAGGAGGUGGAAUAAAAAUGAGCUCCUAAAUCUUAAUCCCGGAUUCUGG